CGGCGCGGGGUCGGCUGGGAGAUGGAGUGCAGAGCCUGGUGGAGGCGGGAGGGCUUUGUCUCGCAGGGACUACAACUCCCAGAAUGCACCGCCACUCGGGUUUUGCUGCUUCCAUCCUCGGGCCGCUUUGCGUUUGGUCUUGCUCAAGUCGCCUCUGUCGGACGACGGUGGGCUGGCCUCCUCCAAAGCCGCGGAUUUGGCUGCCUGUCCUGCUGAGGCGCCAGUGAGAUUUCAACCAUUACUCCGUAUACAAAGUCGUUUUGUUUCUAGCCGUGAUCGAUGAAGUACGCCCAGGGAGGAAAGAGGAGGCGGCUGCCUGAAAAACUGGUUGCUCGUGCACCCAGCCCUGUUGCCGGGGGCGAAGGUUGGAUAUUGGGGACUUGGAGGAAGUACUCAGGUCCUUGCCGAAGACACAGGCAAGUAAUGUGCAGAUGACAAGGCUCAAGGGAGGCACAUCUCACAUGUGGACGUGAAAACUCAAUCAUCAAGCUUAUGAACCACAAAAGGAUCUAGAAAAGUUUUAAACAUAUGAAACAAUUCUGUGUCCAUGCUUCUGUGCAGGUGCAGAGCUUUCUUUACACAAAGCAGAAGACAUGGUCAAGGAAAGGACGUGAUUUCCAGAGUCUGUUUCUACUACUGUGCUGAAAGUACAAAUACUUUGAAGAAAUGUAGAAAGUUGAUUUAAAGUCAUAAUACAUUGUAAGUGAGUAUU